rnacentral:rRNA from 1 species
GAUGAACGCUGGCGGCGUGCCUAAUACAUGCAAGUCGAGCGAACGGACGAGAAGCUUGCUUCUCUGAUGUUAGCGGCGGACGGGUGAGUAACACGUGGAUAACCUACCUAUAAGACUGGGAUAACUUCGGGAAACCGGAGCUAAUACCGGAUAAUAUUUUGAACCGCAUGGUUCAAAAGUGAAAGACGGUCUUGCUGUCACUUAUAGAUGGAUCCGCGCUGCAUUAGCUAGUUGGUAAGGUAACGGCUUACCAAGGCAACGAUGCAUAGCCGACCUGAGAGGGGGAUCGGCACCACUGGACCUGAGCCACGGUCCAGACUCCUACGGGAGGCAGCAGUAGGGAAUCUUCCGCAAUGGGCGAAAGCCUGACGGAGCAACGCCGCGUGAGUGAUGAAGGUCUUCGGAUCGUAAAACUCUGUUAUUAGGGAAGAACAUAUGUGUAAGUAACUGUGCACAUCUUGACGGUACCUAAUCAGAAAGCCACGGCUAACUACGUG